UACGUAGGGUCCGAGCGUUGUCCGGAAUUAUUGGGCGUAAAGAGCUCGUAGGCGGUUUGUCGCGUCUGCUGUGAAAUCCCGAGGCUCAACCUCGGGUCUGCAGUGGGUACGGGCAGACUGGAGUGCGGUAGGGGAGAAUGGAAUUCCUGGUGUAGCGGUGGAAUGCGCAGAUAUCAGGAGGAACACCGAUGGCGAAGGCAGAUCUCUGGGCCGUAACUGACGCUGAGGAGCGAAAGCGUGGGGAGCGAACGGG
rnacentral:rRNA from 1 species